rnacentral:rRNA from 1 species
GGGUUGUGAGGUUAAGCGACUAAGCGUACACGGUGGAUGCCCUGGCAGUCAGAGGCGAUGAAGGACGUGCUAAUCUGCGAUAAGCGUCGGUAAGGUGAUAUGAACCGUUAUAACCGGCGAUUUCCGAAUGGGGAAACCCAGUGUGUUUCGACACACUAUCAUUAACUGAAUCCAUAGGUUAAUGAGGCGAACCGGGGGAACUGAAACAUCUAAGUACCCCGAGGAAAAGAAAUCAACCGAGAUUCCCCCAGUAGCGGCGAGCGAACGGGGAGCAGCCCAGAGCCUGAAUCAGUGUGUGUGUUAGUGGAAGCGUCUGGAAAGGCGCGCGAUACAGGGUGACAGCCCCGUACACAAAAAUGCACAUACUGUGAGCUCGAUGAGUAGGGCGGGACACGUGGUAUCCUGUCUGAAUAUGGGGGGACCAUCCUCCAAGGCUAAAUACUCCUGACUGACCGAUAGUGAACCAGUACCGUGAGGGAAAGGCGAAAAGAACCCCGGCGAGGGGAGUGAAAAAGAACCUGAAACCGUGUACGUACAAGCAGUGGGAGCCUCUUUUAUGGGGUGACUGCGUACCUUUUGUAUAAUGGGUCAGCGACUUAUAUUCUGUAGCAAGGUUAACCGAAUAGGGGAGCCGAAGGGAAACCGAGUCUUAACCGGGCGUUAAGUUGCAGGGUAUAGACCCGAAACCCGGUGAUCUAGCCAUGGGCAGGUUGAAGGUUGGGUAACACUAACUGGAGGACCGAACCGACUAAUGUUGAAAAAUUAGCGGAUGACUUGUGGCUGGGGGUGAAAGGCCAAUCAAACCGGGAGAUAGCUGGUUCUCCCCGAAAGCUAUUUAGGUAGCGCCUCGUGAAUUCAUCUCCGGGGGUAGAGCACUGUUUCGGCAAGGGGGUCAUCCCGACUUACCAACCCGAUGCAAACUGCGAAUACCGGAGAAUGUUAUCACGGGAGACACACGGCGGGUGCUAACGUCCGUCGUGAAGAGGGAAACAACCCAGACCGCCAGCUAAGGUCCCAAAGUCAUGGUUAAGUGGGAAACGAUGUGGGAAGGCCCAGACAGCCAGGAUGUUGGCUUAGAAGCAGCCAUCAUUUAAAGAAAGCGUAAUAGCUCACUGGUCGAGUCGGCCUGCGCGGAAGAUGUAACGGGGCUAAACCAUGCACCGAAGCUGCGGCAGCGACACUGUGUGUUGUUGGGUAGGGGAGCGUUCUGUAAGCCUGUGAAGGUGUACUGUAAGGUAUGCUGGAGGUAUCAGAAGUGCGAAUGCUGACAUAAGUAACGAUAAAGCGGGUGAAAAGCCCGCUCGCCGGAAGACCAAGGGUUCCUGUCCAACGUUAAUCGGGGCAGGGUGAGUCGACCCCUAAGGCGAGGCCGAAAGGCGUAGUCGAUGGGAAACAGGUUAAUAUUCCUGUACUUGGUGUUACUGCGAAGGGGGGACGGAGAAGGCUAUGUUGGCCGGGCGACGGUUGUCCCGGUUUAAGCGUGUAGGCUGGUUUUCCAGGCAAAUCCGGAAAAUUAAGGCUGAGGCGUGAUGACGAGGCACUACGGUGCUGAAGCAACAAAUGCCCUGCUUCCAGGAAAAGCCUCUAAGCAUCAGGUAACAUCAAAUCGUACCCCAAACCGACACAGGUGGUCAGGUAGAGAAUACCAAGGCGUUUGAGAGAACUCGGGUGAAGGAACUAGGCAAAAUGGUGCCGUAACUUCGGGAGAAGGCACGCUGAUAUGUAGGUGAAGUCCCUCGCGGAUGGAGCUGAAAUCAGUCGAAGAUACCAGCUGGCUGCAACUGUUUAUUAAAAACACAGCACUGUGCAAACACGAAAGUGGACGUAUACGGUGUGACGCCUGCCCGGUGCCGGAAGGUUAAUUGAUGGGGUCAGCGCAAGCGAAGCUCUUGAUCGAAGCCCCGGUAAACGGCGGCCGUAACUAUAACGGUCCUAAGGUAGCGAAAUUCCUUGUCGGGUAAGUUCCGACCUGCACGAAUGGCGUAAUGAUGGCCAGGCUGUCUCCACCCGAGACUCAGUGAAAUUGAACUCGCUGUGAAGAUGCAGUGUACCCGCGGCAAGACGGAAAGACCCCGUGAACCUUUACUAUAGCUUGACACUGAACAUUGAGCCUUGAUGUGUAGGAUAGGUGGGAGGCUUUGAAGUGUGGACGCCAGUCUGCAUGGAGCCGACCUUGAAAUACCACCCUUUAAUGUUUGAUGUUCUAACGUGGACCCGUGAUCCGGGUUGCGGACAGUGUCUGGUGGGUAGUUUGACUGGGGCGGUCUCCUCCUAAAGAGUAACGGAGGAGCACGAAGGUUGGCUAAUCCUGGUCGGACAUCAGGAGGUUAGUGCAAUGGCAUAAGCCAGCUUGACUGCGAGCGUGACGGCGCGAGCAGGUGCGAAAGCAGGUCAUAGUGAUCCGGUGGUUCUGAAUGGAAGGGCCAUCGCUCAACGGAUAAAAGGUACUCCGGGGAUAACAGGCUGAUACCGCCCAAGAGUUCAUAUCGACGGCGGUGUUUGGCACCUCGAUGUCGGCUCAUCACAUCCUGGGGCUGAAGUAGGUCCCAAGGGUAUGGCUGUUCGCCAUUUAAAGUGGUACGCGAGCUGGGUUUAGAACGUCGUGAGACAGUUCGGUCCCUAUCUGCCGUGGGCGCUGGAGAACUGAGGGGGGCUGCUCCUAGUACGAGAGGACCGGAGUGGACGCAUCACUGGUGUUCGGGUUGUCAUGCCAAUGGCACUGCCCGGUAGCUAAAUGCGGAAGAGAUAAGUGCUGAAAGCAUCUAAGCACGAAACUUGCCCCGAGAUGAGUUCUCCCUGACCCUUUAAGGGUCCUGAAGGAACGUUGAAGACGACGACGUUGAUAGGCCGGGUGUGUAAGCGCAGCGAUGCGUUGAGCUAACCGGUACUAAUGAACCGUGAGGCUUAACCUUACAACGCCGAAGGUGUUU